ACAUGCCUACAAUAUAGUGUUAAUGCACCAGAUCCCAUUAGAACUCCGCAGUUAAGCACGCUUCGGCUAGAGUAGUACUGGGAUGGGUGAUCGCCUGGGAUGUCCUACUAUUUUACAUGCC
rnacentral:rRNA from 1 species